CCCAAGGGGCGGGGCGACGGGCGGUGCCACGACGUAGCGGGUGGGGAGCCCUCGCCUCAGUCCGAGUCCCGGCACUGCGGUGUUGCGGCUCUGGAGGAGGUGGGACAACGGCGGUUGUGCCAGUCCGGGCGCUGCACCCCAUUCCCGGAACUCUAACCGUAUCCCCAGAUAGAGGGAUGGGAACACAUUUGCUUUCCCAGUAAAACGAAACGGACAGAUUGUGAAGAAGCGGACAAACCUCGCGUUAAUAUUCGAACCAGUCAGUGUCCCCAUUGGCACAGAUCACACCCCCAUCUUUUAAUCCCUCCGUCCGCCCCGUGUCCCUUCAUUUACUACACUCGUCCUCUUCCAGGCCUGGUGCUCGGCGCUUCUGAGAGGAGUAGGCUCACAGAACAGCAGCGCUACAGAGACCCCUGGGGUACGCGAGGCAGGGGGAUUCCGCCCCUUUGGAAGGUGGCCCAGACCCUCAGGCACUAAAGGACUUCGUCGAGACAGGAGAGCCCGCAGAGAUCGGCAGAGAUCGUCCUCUUCUGGAUAACCAGAGUCCACAAUCAAACCUUAAAAUAACCCUUUUGGGGGCGCUGUUCCCUUUGACAAACUUUGGAAAAUGUACACAAUCUUGUGCACAACACGAGAGUUACGGACCUGGGUUAAGGAACGUUGUUUUCUUUUGUUCCCCCCUUGCUGACAUCAUUAAACCCAGCUCUCUCUUCGUUGAUACGACUUUUCUGUGCAUGAGGCUAGGUUGAGAGACAAUGAAGCUAGGCUUGGUACCAGCUCAUUCUCAGCAGCCAUCAUGCCCGGCCUAGUCUUGUUCCCUGGCCUGUUUCCACUUUUCCAGCUCUGUUGGCUCCUGACGUUGGCUUUGUGUCCAGUUUUCCAGUGUGACCCUGACGUUUGGACUUGGCAGCGACACUUUAUUUCCCUAACUUUGAUAGUGGGCAUUAGUCUUCAUUCUCCUCAGCCCCGCCUCAUCAGCUUUUCUCCAUCCUGGUCAUCUACCUUCCCUCAGUUGAUCCUACCUGGCCUACCUGACCAAUGCAUCCCUUUCCACAAAGAUAUUCACACAGGAGGAGAUCUGGGCUACCUUGGAGAAGAAGCCAAAGAGCCAGUGAGAUAUUUAUGAAGCCAUGAAAGCCAUCUUCCCUAGAGUUGCCUGUCACUUCUCUCUCCUCAGGGAGACAUGUCAGUCAGUUCCUAGAGAAACUGCUCCUUAUCACAACCCUCAGCUGUCAGGUUUCCCUGGCACCCAGAGGGGACUGAGCCAGCAGCUGACCUGAAAACAGCAAGUCUGCUGACUGUCCAGCGACCAUUUUCCUCUAUUGAGAAUUUUAACCAAGUGUCUGGUGUCUGCAGUUAUUUGAUAUUGGCUGUGGACCCACAGUCACACAAGGCUGAAGGACAGCACAGAAGAGGCAGUACAUCUUAACAAAAUUGGGUUCUGGAAGAAGGGAGAGGUGGUGAAUGGUUGUUGCAAGCAAUCAACAGUUCAUACUUCAAUGGAAAGAAGGUGGGAUUUGAUUCCUUGUCGCAAAUCUUCACUCUGUCACCUGCUAUCUGUGUGUCCUCAGUAAACAUCUAGAGGCUAGGAAUGCCUAACUUUCUGGGAAUUCAGUCCAGCAACUCUCAGCCUCAUUUUCCUAGCCCUCACUCAAAAUGGAGUCUCUCUGGUUCGAAUGCCUCUGACAAAACCAUCACUACAAUCAAGUCUCCCAUCAAGGAGUGAUGUCUCUUUCUCCAUUUGAAUCUGGGCUGGCCUUGCCAGUAGAAUAUGGCAGAAGUGACAUUGUUCCGGUUCUGAGUCAAAGCCUGAGGAGGCCUUGCAUGUUUCCACUCUCUCUUGCAACCCUGCACUGCCACAUAUCAACAAGACUUAUCAACAAGCCUGGGAUAGCCUACUAGAUGAAAGAUAUAUGGCCCGCUUGCUCCCAUCACUCCAGCUGAUAGCCAGCCAACUCUAAGAAGCAAAGUCACCUAGCUGAUUAGUAGCUGACCACUGACACAAAAGUAAGAUCAUCUGAGACCAGAAGACAGCCCAGCUGAGCACAGCCCAAAUUACUGACCCACAAAAUAAUAAAUAAAUGGUUAUUAUUUUUA